ensembl:lncRNA
CUCUGACUGCAAGUCCAGGAGGACCAGGAGUAUAGAAUCAGGGACUCAUGGUGUUUCACAAAAUGCAGUCCUUGGCCCACUUACCAUUACCGAUGGCACCUCUGAUACAUUCUCAUGGAAUGGAUCUUUUUGAAUUUAAUCUAUUGGGUUAUGAAUCCUGCCUUACUGUAUUGACUCAAUUAAAGCUGUAACUCUAUACUUUAACUAUUGCUCGCUUGCAAGUGACUUUGGAGGUGUUUUCAUCAGUCCUAGCCUUUCCAUUACAUCAUAGCUAGAUGUUGACAAACAUUUUUCAUUCUGAAGCUGCUUGAUAUGGACAUAUCAACUUAAUGGCGCGUUUAACAAUUAUCCAUUUUCAAGACGUCUUUACCAAAAUGAGGAUGUCUCUUUAGGGCUGAACCUUUUAACUAGGGUUAAAUUGGAAUUAAACAAAUGGUCUAUGGGACGACUUGGAAAAAUGUUUUAUUUUUAAACAACGGUAAACAUUUACACUGAGUCUAAAUAGCCAACUUGUGUGUGUGUGUAAUCCAAUGUUAAACCACCAAUUAAAGAGGCAAUUGUGGGAAUCAAUGCAAUGCUUGUUUGCAGCACUGGUGUCCUCAACAGGUCUGAAAAUGAGCAGUAUUUAAAGAGUCAUUGUAACGUUGAAUGAAAUUAUAAGUAUUUUAUGUGGCGACUGUAACUAAAAUACCUUCCUGCUGAAAAUAUGAACUCCUUAAAAUAAGAUGGCAUCUUAUUAAUACGUCAAAUUAAGUCUUGACUGAUGGUAAAAUUAGCCUUGACAAGGUGACUGGGGACGUUGUCACUCGGCCAAUCGGAACGGGGACCGAGAUCCGAGACUCGCGCUGCGAGCUGGAGGCGCAACUGAGCAUCGAAACCAGCU